UGACUAUCAGACCAAACCACCACGGCCAGAGAAAAGGAGGUCAAUUUGGAGCCGAUUUUCUAGAAGGAAUCCAGGUGACUUUCAGGAGAGACCCCCA